AGUCACUCAGUCACUGAUGUCAGGUGCACGCUCUGCCACAACAGGAAGUGCAACCGGGGAGUCGUUUCGUAUUUGAGACUGGUCACCCAGCAGGGGUUCAACACCUAGGCUGAACCCAACAUUCAUUGGUCCUUCGAGCCAAAGUCUGUCGACAGCCAGGACGCCUAAGAGCACCUGAGAAGGUCCUGGGACAUGAAUUCAUGGCAAGGCCAGUGCAGUACUGUUGUUUCUCCCCUCCGAGGACGCCGGCUGAGGGGAUACCGAGAACCCUCUCUGGCUUCACUGCAAGGACGUAUCUUCUGCAAAAAAGCAGCGAUGAUCAGCUGGGAGGAGGAUGGACCACAGAGAGAUGUUAUCCAACCAAGAUGGAAGCUUCCAGAGGAGAAGUACUCUGAAAGUCCCAGCUGAGGAGCUGCGGAAACACAGCUACACCUGCGUGAUUCGGCACAGCAGCUUGGAGAAGGAGUUAGUGCCGUCUGUGAGAGAGCCGAAAUCUGAGAAGGCGGAGAAACAUUUUCCUAUAAAACUACAGGAUUCCAGUGAAAGCUGAUUUACUGCUGCAGCAGAUAAUAAAGACUCCGUGCUGAUUUAACAGGUGUAAAACUGGAUGGCUUCAGAGGAAGAAGAAGAAGAAGAACUCUGGUGAGAGGAGGAAGGAUGAUGUGAUGUGAAAUUUCAGAGAACAGAUUUACAUUUUCAAAUUCUUUUUUUUUUUCCCUUUGUCUUGUGCGGCAGCUUUAGCAGAAUCAUGGUCUGAAUGCACUGCUGUGCCAAACAUGUUUGCUUUACCAUGAGGCUCUAUAAGCUCUGUAUAGGCCCCUCAUGUUGAUCGAUUUCUUUUAUUUUAUUUUAUUUAUUUAUUUCAGUUUUAACACAUGUAAAAACAUUGCAGUGGGUGAGCUGACCGUAGUGGAGGGACACAUUAGGAGUGGGAAAAAAAGAAGGAAAAAGAAGGAAAAGGAGAAAAAAAUAUACAGAAAAAAGAAAAAAAGGAGUGGAUAGAUUCAGUAAGGAACAAACAAAAUUAAAGCGUGCAGACAGUAACACAACUAUACAAGCAUAUAAAAUCUUAGUGUGUGCUUGGAUGGAUGCGUGCAAGUAUAUGUACAUGUGUGCUCA